UUGAGGCAGCAGAAGGGGAGGGCACAGUCUGCAGCAGGGAGCCCCAGGAGUCACCAGCCCAAAGUCACCCAGGGAUGACUGACGAGG
rnacentral:lncRNA from 1 species